rnacentral:rRNA from 1 species
AGAGUUUGAUCCUGGCUCAGAAUCAACGCUGGCGGCGCGCCUAACACAUGCAAGUCGAACGAGAAAGCCCCUUUCGGGGGGUGAGUACAGUGGCGAACGGGUGAGUAACACGUGGGUUACCUGCCCUCGAGUGGGGGAUAACCCCGGGAAACCGGGGCUAAUACCGCAUGCGACCCCAGUUUUGGGGUGAAAGCGUUCAGCGCUCGAGGAGGGGCCCGCGGCCGAUUAGCUGGUUGGUGGGGUAACGGCCCACCAAGGCAACGAUCGGUAGCCGGCCUGAGAGGGCACACGGCCACACUGGCACUGAGACACGGGCCAGACUCCUGCGGGAGGCAGCAGUGGGGAAUCUUGGACAAUGGGGGCAACCCUGAUCCAGCGACGCCGCGUGAUCGAGGAAGGCCUUCGGGUCGUAAAGAUCUUUCAGCGGGGACUAUGAUGAAGGUACCCGCAGAAGCAGGAGCGGCUAACUACGUGCCAGCAGCCGCGGUAAUACGUAGGCUCCAAGCGUUGUUCGGAAUUACUGGGCGUAAAGCGAGUGUAGGCGGCCCGUCGUGUCGGCUGUGAAAUCUCCCGGCUCAACCGGGAGGGUGCGGUCGAAACUGGCGGGCUAGAGUGCGGAAGAGGAAGGUAGAAUUCCUGGUGUAGCGGUGGAAUGCGUAGAGAUCAGGAGGAAUGCCGGCGGUGAAGACGGCCUUCCGGGCCGCCACUGACGCUGAGACUCGAAAGCGUGGGGAGCAAACAGGAUUAGAUACCCUGCUAGUCCACGCCCUAAACGAUGCAUACUUGGUGUGGGCCCUUCAGUGGGUCCGUGCCGGAGCUAACGCGUUAAGUAUGCCGCCUGGGGAGUACGGUCGCAAGGCUGAAACUCAAAGGAAUUGACGGGGGCCCGCACAAGCGGUGGAGCAUGUGAUUUAAUUCGACGCAACGCGAGGAACCUUACCUGGCUUGAACCGCGGCGGACCGCGACGAGACUGGCGCGUCCCUUCGGGGUCGUCGCAGAGGUGCUGCAUGGCUGUCGUCAGCUCGUGUCGUGAAAUGUCGGGAUAGUCCCGCAA